UAGGGAAUCUUCGGCAAUGGGGGGAACCCUGACCGAGCAACGCCGCGCGAGUGAAGAAGGUUUUCGGAUCGUAAAGCUCUGUUGUUAAGGAAGAACGAGUGUGAGAAUGGAAAGUUCAUGCUGUGACGGUACUUAACCAGAAAGGGACGGCUAACUACGUGCCAGCAGCCGCGGUAAUACGUAGGUCCCGAGCGUUGUCCGGAUUUAUUGGGCGUAAAGCGAGCGCAGGCGGUUAGAAAAGUCUGAAGUGAAAGGCAGUGGCUCAACCAUUGUAGGCUUUGGAAACUGUUUAACUUGAGUGCAGAAGGGGAGAGUGGAAUUCCAUGUGUAGCGGUGAAAUGCGUAGAUAUAUGGAGGAACACCGGUGGCGAAAGCGGCUCUCUGGUCUGUACCUGACGCUGAGGCUCGAAAGCGUGGGGAGCGAACAGG
rnacentral:rRNA from 1 species